GAUUCGUCACACUAUCAUUAACUGAAUCCAUAGGUUAAUGAGGCGAACCGGGGGAACUGAAACAUCUAAGUACCCCGAGGAAAAGAAAUCAACCGAGAUUCCCCCAGUAGCGGCGAGCGAACGGGGAGGAGCCCAGAGCCUGAAUCAGCAUGUGUGUUAGUGGAAGCGUCUGGAAAGGCGCGCGAUACAGGGUGACAGCCCCGUACACAAAAGCGCAUGUGCUGUGAGCUCGAUGAGUAGGGCGGGACACGUGGUAUCCUGUCUGAAUAUGGGGGGACCAUCCUCCAAGGCUAAAUACUCCUGACUGACCGAUAGUGAACCAGUACCGUGAGGGAAAGGCGAAAAGAACCCCGGCGAGGGGAGUGAAAAAGAACCUGAAACCGUGUACGUACAAGCAGUGGGAGCCCCACCACUAAGCCAGUGGUGAACUCCACAUCCGCAUCCUUUGCUGAGGAUACGGUUAACGGAGCGAAAGCGACGUUCAACCGCAAAACAAGCAGAGGGGGCUUAGUGGUGGGGUGACUGCGUACCUUUUGUAUAAUGGGUCAGCGACUUAUAUUCUGUAGCAAGGUUAACCGUAUAGGGGAGCCGGAGGGAAACCGAGUCUUAAUUGGGCGUUAAGUUGCAGGGUAUAGACCCGAAACCCGGUGAUCUAGCCAUGGGCAGGUUGAAGGUUGGGUAACACUAACUGGAGGACCGAACCGACUAAUGUUGAAAAAUUAGCGGAUGACCUGUGGCUGGGGGUGAAAGGCCAAUCAAACCGGGAGAUAGCUGGUUCUCCCCGAAAGCUAUUUAGGUAGCGCCUCGUGAAUUCAUCUCCGGGGGUAGAGCACUGUUUCGGCUAGGGGGCCAUCCCGGCUUACCAACCCGAUGCAAACUGCGAAUACCGGAGAAUGUUAUCACGGGAGACACACGGCGGGUGCUAACGUCCGUCGUGAAGAGGGAAACAACCCAGACCGCCAGCUAAGGUCCCAAAGUCAUGGUUAAGUGGGAAACGAUGUGGGAAGGCCCAGACAGCCAGGAUGUUGGCUUAGAAGCAGCCAUCAUUUAAAGAAAGCGUAAUAGCUCACUGGUCGAGUCGGCCUGCGCGGAAGAUGUAACGGGGCUAAACCAUGCACCGAAGCUGCGGCAGCGAACGUAUCACCCAAGACAACUUUACGGAGUUGACGAUUGACGGAGCGAAGCGACGUCAAAGCGUUCAUUAAAGUCGAGUUGGCUUAGGGAUACGUUCGUUGGGUAGGGGAGCGUUCUGUAAGCCUGUGAAGGUGUGUCGUGAGGCAUGCUGGAGGUAUCAGAAGUGCGAAUGCUGACAUAAGUAACGAUAAAGCGGGUGAAAAGCCCGCUCGCCGGAAGACCAAGGGUUCCUGUCCAACGUUAAUCGGGGCAGGGUGAGUCGACCCCUAAGGCGAGGCCGAAAGGCGUAGUCGAUGGGAAACGGGUUAAUAUUCCCGUACUUGGUGUUACUGCGAAGGGGGGACGGAGAAGGCUAUGUUGGCCGGGCGACGGUUGUCCCGGUUUAAGCGUGUAGGUGUGUGUUCCAGGUAAAUCCGGUUCACUUUAACACUGAGGCGUGACGACGAGGCACUACGGUGCUGAAGCAACAAAUGCCCUGCU
rnacentral:rRNA from 1 species